ensembl:lncRNA
CUAGAAUGGCCUCUUGUAUGUGCUGUGUCUGAGCUGAUACCGGAAGGCCACUAUCAGGUCUCUGUGGAGUCUUCUCUCCUCGAGGCUGAACAGCCCCAAUUCUGUCAGCCUGUCCUUGCAGGAGAGGUGUUCCAUCCCUUGGAUUGCUUUCAUGGUCCUCCUCUGGAUGUGCUCCAGCAGUUCCAUGUCUCUCCUGUACUGAGGACUCUGUAUUUAGACACAGUACUCCAGCUAACAGACUCAAGCCCUGCUGUGAGCCUGAAGAACUUAAGUUUUUGAAAAUGACACCUGUGGCACUGGAGAUAAAGUAGGUAAAAGGCAUUAGUAACCAGCUGACUACUAGCACUAGUGCCACUUCAGGGGACCCUGGCAAUCAGCUGCACCUUCACCAUGGCAAUCUGGCUUGGCUUCUACUGCGUCCACUGCUGUGACACUGAAACUUAAAGUACUACUGCCAUCUACAGGGGCUCCACUUGUUUUCAUGCUUUGUUUCUGAAAAGCUCAGCAAUAAAAUAUUCCCCCAGUAUCUUUCCCAUUGUUAUGUCAGAUUCAAUGGUUGCUUUUUUUUUGGUAUGUACCUCCUUUUCUCAGGCUUUGAUGGACAAAAGACCAAAGCUUCAAACAUGUUGUUGUAAGCACAGACCAAAGGAGCCCCUCUGCAACAUAUGGCAAUUCCAUUACUUUCCCCUUCUCAAAAGUUUACUCUUGCUUAUUUCAGUUACAAUAAAAUAGAGUUCUCCUAGCCCAAGGUGAAAGCUUUGCAAAUUUGAUCGAACAUCAAACUUAACUUUGCAGUGGGAGGUGUGACUGUGUGCUGACAUGGAGCUGUACUGCUGGGCAGCUUGAUGGUAGUCUUCUCUGUGCUCCUGUACUUGUAAAUUUUAAAGAAAAGGCAUCUGAAUAAAGCAUCUAGGUUCAGGGAUGGGGAAAAUGCUGUCUGGAAGAGGCAACAAUAAAAAUGACAUUUAGUGGAUAUUUCUAGGCUAAAUGAGCUUAUCUAGGUCCAGCUUGACAGAACAUUUGGUGCUGGAGGUGCAUAGAACUAGGUGCAAUAUGUACUACUUACAUCAAAAGCGAUGGGAAAAUGUUGGCAUGAGUUGCUGGCUGUGUUAAGGCAGCUGGUAACAGAAGAAUGCAGGAGAAAGGAUAGUACUGAGUAUUUGAUGCUGCAAUCGCAUGUGAAUUGGUCAUGGUGUUGAGUGUAAACCUGUAGGGCACAACUGAAAGGCUGAUGGACCUGAUACAGACUUAGCAUCAUAACUCAGACCAUAAGUAGUAGUACAGAGUCAGAUGUUAGGUGAGGGGUCAUGAUCUCCUUCAGACUCUAAGCUUAUAGAGCUCAGCACAACUCAUUCUUAUAGAUAUUCAUUAUAAAAGUGGGGGAAAAGUCUUAUUUGGAUAAGAAUGAGUUUCAGGAAUAACCCCAUUAUGUCUAAGGUCCAAAGACUGAGGUAAAUAAUUGAGAGUUUACACUUGGUGGCAAUUAAGACUCGUAGCUGCUCUUAUGCUGGGGAAAAUACUGGUUGCUGAAUUUUUUCUGAUCCUGAAAAUCAAGCAUGGAAGACGAAUCAACUGCUGACUCUGUCUAGUCUUCUCUCUGGCAUCAAACCAGAUUGUUUUUCUUUUCAAUCGAAGAGCUCAGUUACAGGUCAUUUUCUAUCUAUUUUCUUGAUUUUUGACAGGAUUCUGUCUAUUUUACAUUCAGUACAAGCUCACUUUCGUAUUAGAGAUAAAGUAAUUAGGUUAGACAGGUAGGAUAUUUCUUCACAUGAACUGAAGGCAGGAUUAGAAAGCAAUAUGAAUUCAUUAUAAAACAGUAUGUGAGUCCAAAGGAAGGCCAGACUGCUUUUGCUCCGUGAGUUCUAUUUUUUCAGUAACACUGUUUAUUUGUACUUGCUUACCUGCCUAUUGCAAUUGCACUCAGAAGUCUGACAAGAUUGGAUGUAUGGGAUAUUUGUCUUGACCCUGCAGUUCUACUGUGCGCUGAGCCCUCACUGACUGCUGC